rnacentral:rRNA from 1 species
UCUACGGGAGGCAGCAGUGGGGGAUAUUGCACAAUGGGGGAAACCCUGAUGCAGCGACGCCGCGUGGGUGAAGACGCGCCUCGGCGCGUAAAGCCCUGUCAGUAGGGAAGAAAAUGACGGUACCUGUAGAAGAAGCCCCGGCUAACUACGUGCCAGCAUCCGCGGUAAUACGUAGGGGGCCAGCGUUAUCCGGAUUUACUGGGUGGAAAGGGGGUGCAGACGGUGAUGCAAGCCAGGAGUGAAAACACGGGGCCUAACCCCGGGACUGCUGUUGGAACUGCGUGGCUAGAGUGCAGGAGGGGCAGGCGGAAUUCCUGGUGGAGCGGUGAAAUGCGUAGAUAUCAGGAGGAACACCGGUGGCGAAGGCGGCCUGCUGGACUGCAACUGACGUUGAGGCCCGAAAGCGUGGGGAGCAAACAGGAUUAGAUACCCCAGUAGUC